AGCACCGAGUUGCUGGAGGCCUCAAGAGUCAUUGGAGGUGAGUAUUAGUUGUGAUUUGGCAGGAAAUUUGCUUCGGACGCUGGAUGCGCGCCACUUGCCAUAUGUAUGUCCGGAAAGCGUUGCAGGUAAUUUAUUGGUGGUAAGAAUAUGACGCGCCGCUGUCAUUUGUUGGUUUUCUCUUCCACCCUCAGUGGUAGAUGUUUGCGAUUAUUUAUUUAGCUUGUUAAAUUGCAGGUCAGCUUCGGCGGUCGUCGGGAAGAGGAUGCCUGAAGAAAGGUCCGGAACAGCGGUCGUCACGUAGUUUUGGAGCUGCUGCCAUUAUUGUGGUGUGAUCUGUCUCAUUAUGGCAGAGGAGUCGACAGUGAUGAUUGUGGCUUGGUCGUUCAUCUAGGGUGGCUAGGUGCGCCGCGUUUUGUGGCCAUUUCGUCAGGGUUUGCAGCUUGGAGCCUCCGGAACGUGAUUAGUUGCCGAGGGCCGUCGCAACGAUUGGGGCCAUGGAAAUGGAAGUAAAAUUAGAGAUUGGGUACGUUUAGUGGGAGGUACAUUAGGUGGAAGCUAGUCUGGUGGUAAGUGUUAUAAUUGUUUUUAAGGUUGCAUUAAUAUUUUGUUUUUCAGCUGCGUUUUGUAACUAAUUGGGAGGCCCUUUGUUUUUGGAACAUGGCAGCGGAAAAGCCGCGGGUUUAGGGUCGUCGAGUUGGCAAUUAGAUAAGUGUUUUGUUAAAGUAAUUAAUUCCCAGUUUUAGCUUGUGCUUCCUCGUUUCAGAAUUUACAAUCUUGGAAAGAGCAGUUGCAUGCUUAUCGUCAGCAAGAUGGAGCCGCCUGUUGUCGCCUAUUGUCGCCUGGUUAUUUGCCUGUCCGGUUUGCUUUGUCCUUAAUUAAUUAUAUUUUGUAUCAUAUUCUUAUUAAAAUUUUUCCUUUCGUUGUAGGUUAGCGGAAAAUCCGUGGGAGAUGCGAUACUGAGGAAAGGAAUUUUGUGUUUUUCUUUUCAGGUACAUUUGGUGGGAGGUACAUUUGGUGGAAGCUAAUCUGGUGGUGAGUAUUUUAAUUGUUUUAUGGUUACAUUAGUCUUUUGUUUUACAGGUACGUUUUGUGACUAAUUUGGAGGCCCUUUGUUUUUGAAACAUUGCAACAGGAGAGCCGCGGGUUUAGUGUCGUCGAAUUGGCAAUUAGAUAAGUGUUUAUUUAAAGUAAAUAAUUCCCAGUAUUAGCUUGUGCUUCCUUGUUUCAGAGUUCACAAUCUUGGAAAAAGCAGUUGCGUGCUUUUCAUCAGCAGGAUAGAGUCGCCUGUUGGCGUCUAUUAAUUUGCCUGUCCGGUUUGUAAAUUUAUAUUUGUCCUUAAUUAAUUUUCUUUGUAUCCUAUUCUUAUUAAUUUUCUUUUCGUUGUAGGUUUUCGGAAAAAUUUGUGGAAGAUGCGAUACUGAGGAAAAGUAUACAAUUUGAGGACAAGUGGUACGGUUUAAUUGUGUGACGUCAGCUCCGCGCUAGUGAUCCUUAUUGGAGAAGUGGCAUCAGGAGGUGGAGACGGCAUCGUAAUGAUGUCGAUUUUUUUUGUGUUAAAAGGCAAAAAGUUGGCUUUUUUGUUUUACGUUUGGUGGAGCCGUCUCCUCUUGUCUAAUGCAUAGGAUGUGGGUAAGCUAUGUCUGCAGUGGGUGAGGUAUUUGCUUUGUUUGAUUUUAUUUUGUUUAUUUAAUUUGUUGUUGAUUGUUUACUUUUAGGUUUUAGCGUCAACUCGCUGUUGGCGCUCGUCAAGCUGGAAAUUUAUGGGAGCAGCAGAGUGUCCUGUUCGACGAGGUGGAAGCGUUGUUGGCCCGUCUUUUGCAGAGCAUCAAUUUGUGUAGAUUUCAGCGUUGAUAAUAGAUACUUCAAAGGACCGUGCGGCAAAAAUUUCAGGCUCUGGUUGGUUUUUUCCGUAUCGUAUCGUCAGGAUCAGCUGGAGUGCGUUGUCGUAGGCUUGUUUAUUCGGGUGCGUUGAGGAAAAUUGGGCUGCGUCGAGGAAGUUGAUGACCGUGAAGGAGUUUGGAGCAGACUGACGUGCACUUUUCGGUCGGAUAUGGAUAUCGUUAGAAUAGAUAUAAGUAAGAGUAGAUAUAAGUAAGAGUAAAUUUAAUUGGAUGUAUCCAUGUCAAGAUUGUUAUCUGUUCCUUGAAUAAUUAAGGCCAAUAAACUGUCAAUUUUCUUUU